rnacentral:rRNA from 1 species
ACCUAGAGUAUGGGAGGGGGAGAUUGGAAUUAGUGGUGUAGGGGUAAAAUCCGUAGAUAUCACUAGGAAUACCGAAAGCGAAGGCGAUCUCCUGGAACAAUACUGACGCUAAGGCGUGAAAGCGUGGGGAGCAAACGGGAUUAGAUACCCCGGUAGUCCACGCCCUAAACGAUGUUCACUAGUCGUCGGAAUGCUAGUCAUUUCGGUGAUGCACUUAACAGAUUAAGUGAACCGCCUGGGGAGUACGGUCGCAAGAUUAAAACUCAAAGGAAUAGACGGGGACCCGCACAAGUGGUGGAGCAUGUGGUUUAAUUCGAAGAUACGCGAAGAACCUUACCUAGCCUUGACAUUGAUUGAAUACUUUAGAGAUAGAGUAGUGCCCUUCGGGGAACAUGAAAACAGGUGCUGCACGGCUGUCGUCAGCUCGUGUCGUGAGAUGUUGGGUUAAGUCCCGCAACGAGCGCAACCCUCGUCCUUAGUUGCCAGCAGGUUAAGCUGGGCACUUUAAGGAGACUGCCUUCGCAAGGAGGAGGAAGGUGAGGACGACGUCAAGUCAUCAUGGCCCUUAUGGCUAGGGCUACACACGUGCUACAAUGGGGCGUACAGAGAGUUGCGAUACCGCGAGGUGGAGCCAAUCUCAUAAAGCGUCUCUCAGUUCGGAUUGAAGUCUGCAACUCGACUU